rnacentral:rRNA from 1 species
UACGUAGGGUGCGAGCGUUGUCCGGAAUUAUUGGGCGUAAGGAGCUCGUAGGCGGUCUGUCGCGUCGAUCGUGAAAACUUGGGGCUUAACCCUGAGCUUGCGGUCGAUACGGGCAUGACUGGAGUUCGGCAGGGGAGACUGGAAUUCCUGGUGUAGCGGUGAAAUGCGCAGAUAUCAGGAGGAACACCGGUGGCGAAGGCGGGUCUCUGGGCCGAUACUGACGCUGAGGAGCGAAAGCGUGGGGAGCAAACAGG